GACGAACGCUGGCGGCGUGCUUAAUACAUGCAAGUCGAACGGAAAGGCCCUGCUUUUGCGGGGUGCUCGAGUGGCGAACGGGUGAGUAACACGUGAGUAACCUGUCCUUGACUUUGGGAUAACUUUAGGAAACUGGGGCUAAUACCGGAUAGGAGCUCUUGCUGCAUGGUGGGGGUUGGAAAGAUUCGGCUGUUGGGGAUGGACUCGCGGCUUAUCAGCCUGUUGGUGAGGUAGUGGCUUACCAAGGCUUUGACGGAUAGCCGGCCUGAGAGGGUGACCGGCCACAUUGGGCCUGAGAUACGGCCCAGACUCCUACGGGAGGCAGCAGUGGGGAAUAUUGCACAGUGGGCGGAAGCCUGAUACAGCAACGCCGCGUGCGUGAUGACGGCCUUCGAGUUGUAAACCGCUGUCGCCGGUGACGAAGCGUGAGUGACGGUAAUGGGUAAAGAAGCACCGGCUAACUACGUG
rnacentral:rRNA from 1 species